GAUGAACGCUGGCGGCGUGCCUAAUACAUGCAAGUCGAGCGAACAGACGAGGAGCUUGCUCCUCUGACGUUAGCGGCGGACGGGUGAGUAACACGUGGAUAACCUACCUAUAAGACUGGGAUAACUUCGGGAAACCGGAGCUAAUACCGGAUAAUAUAUUGAACCGCAUGGUUCAAUAGUGAAAGACGGUUUUGCUGUCACUUAUAGAUGGUUCCGCGCUGCAUUAGCUAGUUGGUAAGGUAACGGCUUACCAAGGCAACGAUGCGUAGCCGACCUGAGAGGGUGAUCGGCCACACUGGAACUGAGACACGGUCCAGACUCCUACGGGAGGCAGCAGUAGGGAAUCUUCCGCAAUGGGCGAAAGCCUGACGGAGCAACGCCGCGUGAGUGAUGAAGGUCUUCGGAUCGUAAAACUCUGUUAUUAGGGAAGAACAAAUGUGUAAGUAACUAUGCACGUCUUGACGGUACCUAAUCAGAAAGCCACGGCUAACUACGUG
rnacentral:rRNA from 1 species